ACCACUUCUUCUUUUUCCACUCAUCUGGUGAUGGACCUUUUGGUUGCUUCCGUGUCUUGGCUAUUGUGAAAAUUCGUGCAGUGCAGCUGUUGAAGCCUGUGCCUUCUCGACUCUGGACUUCUCAGGCUCAUCUAUGGUGCCUCAAAGAGCAGUGUUUCAUUGUUUUCCAUGGCUAAUAUUCCAUUGUGUACAUGGACCACUUCUUCUUUUUCCACUCAUCUGGUGAUGGACCUUUUGGUUGCUUCCGUGUCUUGGCUAUUGUGAAAAUUCGUGCAGUGCAGCUGUUGAAGCCUGUGCCUUCUCGACUCUGGACUUCUCAGGCUCAUCUAUGGUGCCUCAAAGAGCAGUGUUUCAUUGUUUUCCAUGGCUAAUAUUCCAUUGUGUACAUGGACCACUUCUUCUUUUUCCACUCAUCUGGUGAUGGACCUUUUGGUUGCUUCCGUGUCUUGGCUAUUGUGAAAAUUCGUGCAGUGCAGCUGUUGAAGCCUGUGCCUUCUCGACUCUGGACUUCUCAGGCUCAUCUAUGGUGCCUCAAAGAGCAGUGUUUCAUUGUUUUCCAUGGCUAAUAUUCCAUUGUGUACAUGGACCACUUCUUCUUUUUCCACUCAUCUGGUGAUGGACCUUUUGGUUGCUUCCGUGUCUUGGCUAUUGUGAAAAUUCGUGCAGUGCAGCUGUUGAAGCCUGUGCCUUCUCGACUC